rnacentral:rRNA from 1 species
CCUACGGGAGGCAGCAGUGAGGAAUAUUGGUCAAUGGACGAGAGUCUGAACCAGCCAAGUAGCGUGAAGGAUGACUGCCCUAUGGGUUGUAAACUUCUUUUAUAAAGGAAUAAAACGAGGCACGUGUGCCUUUUUGCAUGUACUUUAUGAAUAAGGAUCGGGUAACUCCGUGCCAGCAGCCGCGGUAAUACGGAGGAUCCGAGCGUUAUCCGGAUUUAUUUGGUUUAAAGGGAGCGUAGAUGGGUUGUUAAGUCAGUUGUGAAAGUUUGCGGCUCAACCGUAAAAUUGCAAUUGAUACUGGCAGUCUUGAGUACAGUUGAGGUAGGCGGAAUUCGUGGUGUAGCGGUGAAAUGCUUAGAGAUCACGAAGAACCCCGAUUGCGAAGGCAGCUUACUAAACUGUGACUGACAUUGAUGCUCGAAAGUGUGGGUAUCAAACAGGAUUAGAUACCCGUGUAGUC